AUUGAACGCUGGCGGCAUGCCUUACACAUGCAAGUCGAACGGUAACAGGUCUUCGGAUGCUGACGAGUGGCGAACGGGUGAGUAAUACAUCGGAACGUGCCUAGUAGUGGGGGAUAACUACUCGAAAGAGUGGCUAAUACCGCAUGAGAUCUACGGAUGAAAGCAGGGGAUCGCAAGACCUUGUGCUACUAGAGCGGCCGAUGGCAGAUUAGGUAGUUGGUGGGAUAAAAGCUUACCAAGCCGACGAUCUGUAGCGGGUCUGAGAGGAGGAUCAGCCACACUGGGACUGAGACACGGCCCAGACUCCUACGGGAGGCAGCAGUGGGGAAUUUUGGACAAUGGGCGCAAGCCUGAUCCAGCAAUGCCGCGUGCAGGAUGAAGGCCUUCGGGUUGUAAACUGCUUUUGUACGGAACGAAAAGCCCUGGGUUAAUACCCUGGGGUCAUGACGGUACCGUAAGAAUAAGCACCGGCUAACUACGUGCCAGCCGCCGCCGUAACAC
rnacentral:rRNA from 1 species